UCCAGCAUUACUCAAGUUACAUUUAAAACAACAGAUGCUUGAAUAAAGGUGUCUCCCUCUUUUAUGACUGGACUGAACAUUUGGAUUUUUUCAUGGUGAAUACUAAACAGCAGUCUCUACAUCCACAUAGCACAACAUGAGAAAAAUCUUUCUUCAUUGUCCUUGGUAGACACAUUUUGUCACCGUUACUCACUGCUACUCACUACUGUCGUUUAGAUC